CUACAGCACACAGCUACAAAUCGCGGCAGGGCAGCAUCGAGCCCUCCCUGCAGCCCAUCUGGAGGAGGGGAUGACGCAGGCACAGGGCUCUUGGAGGAGGCUCUGCCCGCCCAGCGACUCCCACAGAAAAGCUGCCCAACUCACCUUUCCAGUCCGCCGCGCUCGGCACCCACGCCCGCAAAGCAAACACGGAUGGAAAGCCCGGCGCCGCUGCCCCCCACCCAGCACACGUCCUGCGGCCGAGGGCAAGAGCUCUGCCUGGGUGGCAGACACAGCUUUCCCAGCAAUUGGGAAUUAAUCGCUGCCUGGAGGAGAGCGAUGACUAAAAGGCAGGCAGCUGGUGGCACCUUGUGCCUGUUGUUUGGGCAGGCCUUCCCCUUGGUUCACUGUGCAGCAGAGAGGUGCAAAGUCGAAGGACCAAUUGCUCGUGCUCUAAUUCAUCGCACGUAGAAAGGCAGCGAGGGGAUUUUUUAGCAACAGAAAUGACCAGGCAGCUGGAUCACCGUGGGCUGGGCACAGGCUCUGUGUUGAUUCUGAUGUACCAACUGGUCUUAGCACAACUCCUCCCUGCCCAGAAUCCAAGACCUGGCUUCCAUCUGUGCUGUCAAGUUCAUAAGUGACAAAAGUGUGUAACAGCUCAUUUAAAAAUUUACUACUUGUUGUUGUUUAUUACAAGAUGUAAAAACAAGUGCUUUCCAAGCAAAAGGGAAAAGUUUGGCUGUUAAUCUUUGCAUCACCUCAUACAACUUCAUCUGACACAUUUUGUAAAUGACUUGGCAGAAACAAUCCUGUGUAACCCUUCAAACCCUCUGUCCCCACAUCUCCUAAGGCAGAUGCUCAUUGCAGGUCAUCAGCCUUUGGAGGUUCUGUUUCUCUGGUGUCGGUACCAUGUAAUCCAUUGGCAGAGAUUAUUUUCUUUCCACUAUUUUGGGUUUCUGUCUUCCAUUCUGACAUCAGCUUUCAUGAAAUUUGCAGAGCAUCAUUAUCUGCCUCUCUUUAAAAUCAGAGUGAAAGUAGAAAAUUAAUUCAGACUACAUCCAGAAAGGAACGGACAUA